rnacentral:rRNA from 1 species
CGACAGGCCUAACACAUGCAAGUCGAGGGGCAGCGGGGGCGAAGCUUGCUUCGCCUGCCGGCGACCGGCGCACGGGUGAGUAACACGUAUGGAACCUGCCCGCCACAGGGGGAUAACCGGUAGAAAUGCCGACUAAUACCCCGUAUGCCCACAGGGGCGCAUGCCCUGGUGGGGAAACAUUCAUGGGUGGCGGAUGGCCAUGCGGCGCAUUAGCUAGUUGGCGGGGUAACGGCCCACCAAGGCGACGAUGCGUAGGGGUUCUGAGAGGAAGGUCCCCCACAUUGGUACUGAGACACGGACCAAACUCCUACGGGAGGCAGCAGUGAGGAAUAUUGGUCAAUGGGCGAGAGCCUGAACCAGCCAAGUCGCGUGAGGGAUGACGGUCCUACGGAUUGUAAACCUCUUUUGUCGGGGAACAACAGGGGGCACGUGUGCCUUUGUGAGUGUACCCGAAGAAAAAGCAUCGGCUAACUCCGUGCCAGCAGCCGCGGUAAUACGGAGGAUGCGAGCGUUAUCCGGAUUUAUUGGGUUUAAAGGGUGCGCAGGCGGCGCGUCAAGCCGGUGGUAAAAUUGCGGGGCUCAACCCCGUAGAGCCAUCGGAACUGGCGUGCUUGAGUGGAGAAGAAGUAUGCGGAAUGCGAGGUGUAGCGGUGAAAUGCAUAGAUAUCGCGCAGAACUCCGAUUGCGAAGGCAGCGUACUAUUCUCCAACUGACGCUGAGGCACGAAAGCGUGGGGAUCGAACAGGAUUAGAUACCCUGGUAGUCCACGCAGUAAACGAUGAGUGCUCCGCUUGUGUGCUGAGGCCUGCGAAGGCCAAAUGAAAAACGUUAAGCACUCCACUCUGGGGAAUUCCCCCGGGCAACGGUGAAACUCAAAGGAAUUUGACGGGGGCCCCGCACAAACGGAAGGAAAUUGGGGUUUAAUUCCAAUAAUACCCAAGGAACCUUUCCCGGGCUUGA